UACGGAGGGUGCAAGCGUUAAUCGGAAUCACUGGGCGUAAAGGGCGCGUAGGCGGCCAUGUAAGUCGGAUGUGAAAUCCCUCGGCUCAACCGGGGAACUGCAUUCGAAACUGCUUGGCUUGAGUACUGGAGAGGGUGGCGGAAUUCCCGGUGUAGGAGUGAAAUCCGUAGAGAUCGGGAGGAACACCAGUGGCGAAGGCGGCCACCUGGACAGUAACUGACGCUGAGGCGCGAAAGCGUGGGUAG
rnacentral:rRNA from 1 species